rnacentral:tmRNA from 1 species
GGGGCUGACUGGUUUCGACAGCAGUGUCGGUGGGUAGGUAAGCAUGCAGAGAACCGUAGCGCGAUCUCUUUAAUCCCUUGCUACAAAAUUUUAACUGGCAACGAAGAGUAUGCUCUUGCUGCUUAAUCCGAAGUAUAGUAAGAUUAGCGUUUUUCCCGAAGUAUAGUAAGGAAACAAGAUGUCUCACCAAAGUUCUGUUCUGCAACGUUGGAAACUGAGGCAUAGGAAAUGCGGAAAUAAGCUUUUGGAAUCUUUGGCUAAAAGACGAAAACCUUAAAAGAUAAGCAUGAAGUUGAGUGUUUACUCUCUGCUUGAUGACGAAAACCAAUAGUAAACUAAGCAUGUAGAAAGCUUAUGUGCUGCCUGUUUGGACGAGGGUUCGAAUCCCUCCAGCUCCACAA